rnacentral:rRNA from 1 species
AUACGUAGGGGACGAGCGUUGUCCGGAUUUAUUGGGUUUAAAGGGUGCGCAGGCGGCCAUUUAAGUCAGCGGUUAAAUCGUGGGGCUCAACCCCAUUCUGCCGUUGAUACUGGGUGGCUUGAUUGCGGUCGAGGUUGGCGGAAUUCGUUGUGUAGCGGUGAAAUGCAUAGAUAUGACGAAGAACACCGAUUGCGUAGGCAGCUGACCAGACCGCAAAUGACGCUCAUGCACGAAAGUGCGGGGAUCGAACAGGAUUAGAUACCCUGGUAGUCCGCACAGUAAACGAUGAAUACUUGUUUUCGGCGAUAUAAUGUCGGAGGCAAAGCGAAAGCGAUAAGUAUUCCACCUGGGGAGUACGCCGGCAACGGUGAAACUCAAAGGAAUUGACGGGG